GCGAACUGAUUAGAAGCUUGCUUCUAUGACGUUAGCGGCGGACGGGUGAGUAACACGUGGGCAACCUGCCUGUAAGACUGGGAUAACUUCGGGAAACCGAAGCUAAUACCGGAUAGGAUCUUCUCCUUCAUGGGGGAUGAUUGAAAGAUGGUUUCGGCUAUCACUUACAGAUGGGCCCGCGGUGCAUUAGCUAGUUGGUGAGGUAACGGCUCACCAAGGCAACGAUGCAUAGCCGACCUGAGAGGGUGAUCGGCCACACUGGGACUGAGACACGGCCCAGACUCCUACGGGAGGCAGCAGUAGGGAAUCUUCCGCAAUGGACGAAAGUCUGACGGAGCAACGCCGCGUGAGUGAUGAAGGCUUUCGGGUCGUAAAACUCUGUUGUUAGGGAAGAACAAGUACAAGAGUAACUGCUUGUACCUUGACGGUACCUAACCAGAAAGCCACGGCUAACUACGUGCCAGCAGCCGCGGUAAUACGUAGGUGGCAAGCGUUAUCCGGAAUUAUUGGGCGUAAAGCGCGCGCAGGCGGUUUCUUAAGUCUGAUGUGAAAGCCCACGGCUCAACCGUGGAGGGUCAUUGGAAACUGGGGAACUUGAGUGCAGAAGAGAAAAGCGGAAUUCCACGUGUAGCGGUGAAAUGCGUAGAGAUGUGGAGGAAC
rnacentral:rRNA from 1 species